rnacentral:tRNA from 1 species
GGAGAGAUGGCCGAGUAGGCUGAAGGCGCUCGCCUGCUAAGCGAGUAGACGGGCUCAAACCUGUCUCGAGGGUUCGAAUCCCUCUCUCUCCGCCA